GUACACGCUGUGACUAGCAUAUCAAUAAGCGGAGGAAAAGAAACUAACAAGGAUUCCCCUAGUAACGGCGAGUGAAGCGGGAAGAGCUCAAAUUUGAAAUCUUAAAGGGUUUCCCUUUACGAAUUGUAGUUUAAAGAAGUGUUUUCUGUUGAGGUUUUGGUAAAAGUUCUUUGGAAUAGGACAUCAUAGAGGGUGAGAAUCCCGUAUUUGACCUUUACUUUCAACUUUGUGAUACACUUUCAAAGAGUCGGAUUGUUUGGGAAUGCAGUCCAAAAUGGGUGGUAAAUUUCAUCCUAAAGCUAAAUAUUGGCGAGAGACCGAUAGCGAACUAGUACCGUGAGGGAAAGAUGAAAAGAACUUUGAAAAGAGAGUUAAACAGUACGUGAAAUUGUCAAAAGGGAAGCGUUUGACACCAGUGUUGUUUUUCUGAAAAUCAAUUAAAGAACUGUUUAUGCUAAGCUGUUUAGACUUUAUCAGCUAUCUGUUUAGUUUUGAGCUUUUCUUUAAUGCACUUUUCAGUUAACAAGUCAACAUCAAUUUCUUUCUGCUGUAAAAAAGCUUGAGGAAGGUGGCUUGAGAUUCGUCUUAAGUGUUUAUAGCCUCUUGCCUAUGCAGUCGGAGAGAUUGAGGUCUGCAGCGUAGAUCCUUCGGGGCUAAAUGCAUUUGUGCUAAGUUAUAGCAUUUUAUAGACAACUUGUUGACUAUGAUUUGUCUUGUAGCUUACUCGCUUAUGUUAUUUUACCUACGCUUAGGAUGUUGAGUCGUAGAGCACGCAG
rnacentral:rRNA from 1 species